rnacentral:rRNA from 1 species
UACGGAGGGUGCAAGCGUUAUCCGGAUUCACUGGGUUUAAAGGGAGCGUAGGUGGGCUGGUAAGUCAGUGGUGAAAUCUCCGGGCUUAACUCGGAAACUGCCGUUGAUACUAUCAGUCUUGAAUAUUGUGGAGGUAAGCGGAAUAUGUCAUGUAGCGGUGAAAUGCUUAGAUAUGACAUAGAACACCGAUAGCGAAGGCAGCUUGCUACACAAUUAUUGACACUGAGGCACGAAAGCGUGGGGAGCAAACAGG